rnacentral:rRNA from 1 species
UACGGAGGGUGCAAGCGUUAGUCGGAAUUACUGGGCGUAAAGGGUGCGUAGGCUGGGAUAUAAGUCAGAUGUGAAAAACCAAAGCUCAACUUUGGCAGUGCAUCUGAAACUGCAUCUCUAGAGGAAUAGCGGAGAAAACGGAAUUCCACGUGUAGCGGUGAAAUGCGUAGAUAUGUGGAAGAACACCUGUGGCGAAAGCGGUUUUCUAGCUUUCUCCUGACGCUGAGGCACGAAAGCAAGGGGAGCAAAC